rnacentral:rRNA from 1 species
UACGAGGGGGGCAAGCGUUGUUCGGAAUUAUUGGGCGUAAAGCGUGCGCAGGCGGUGAUGUAAGACCGAUGUGAAAUCCCCGGGCUUAACCUGGGAACUGCAUUGGUGACUGCAUCGCUCGAGUAUGGCAGAGGGGGGUAGAAUUCCACGUGUAGCAGUGAAAUGCGUAGAGAUGUGGAGGAAUACCGAUGGCGAAGGCAGCCCCCUGGGUCAAUACUGACGCUCAUGCACGAAAGCGUGGGGAGCAAACAGG